rnacentral:rRNA from 1 species
UACGUAGGGGGCAAGCGUUGUCCGGAUUUAUUGGGCGUAAAGAGCGUGUAGGCGGUUAGGUAGGUCCGUUGUGAAAACUCGAGGCUCAACCUCGAGACGCCGAUGGAAACCAUCUGACUAGAGUCCGGAAGAGGAGAGUGGAAUUCCUGGUGUAGCGGUGAAAUGCGCAGAUAUCGGGAGGAACACCGGUGGCGAAGGCGGCAUCCUGGACCGGCAUUGACGCUGAGGAGCGAAAGCCAGGGGAGCAAACGGG